rnacentral:rRNA from 1 species
CCUACGGGAGGCAGCAGUGGGGAAUAUUGGGCAAUGGGCGCAAGCCUGACCCAGCAACGCCGCGUGAAGGAAGAAGGCUUUCGGGUUGUAAACUUCUUUUGUCAGGGACGAAGCAAGUGACGGUACCUGACGAAUAAGCCACGGCUAACUACGUGCCAGCAGCCGCGGUAAUACGUAGGUGGCAAGCGUUAUUCGGAUUUACUGGGUGUAAAGGUCGUGUAGGCGGGGAAGCAAGUCAGAUGUGAAAACCACGGGCUCAACCUGUGGCCUGCAUUUGAAACUGUUUUUCUUGAGUGCUGGAGAGGCAAGCGGAAUUCCGGGUGUAGCGGUGAAAUGCGUAGAGAUACGGAGGAACACCAGUGGCGAAGGCGGAUUGCUGGACAGUAACUGACGCUGAGGCGCGAAAGCGUGGGGAGCAAACAGGAUUAGAUACCCCUGUAGUC